GAGUGAAGAUAUUUUUGUGACGAACAAAGAUUGGAAGAUAUUUUGAAAUUGUGAACUGAUCGACCGUUUUCAUACUGUGAGGAACAUUUACAGAACCUCCAGAAAUUUCUUUCCAUCAUCGUCUUCACUGAAUCUCUGCUGAGUUAUCGAUGAUUUGAAUUUCCCAUUACUGGAAUGGCUUCUUCCACCUUCAGCUGGUCCAUCACCCCUCACACGCCCAGUUACCCAACUCCCAAACCUAGAAACCAACCUCCCUUCUCCAAUUCUAUCAUCAACAACCAAUCAUCCUCCGAAUCCGGGCCACAGGUUCGCAAACCCAAGGGCAGCCCCCAAUUGAAUCGCUGGUCUAGGGCUCGCGCUUUACGAUCGGGGCACAAAUUGGAGCGCCACAGCAAUCGGACUGCUCAGGCUGUCGAGCUGCGUUCUCCCGAUUCGCCCACUGACAGAGCCCCACUGGAACCUGCUCUUAAAGGAAGAGAUGGCGACGAUGAUGUGGAGAGAAUAGUUGGGAAGUCCAUUUAUAUGGUGUCUGAUGGCACUGGAUGGACGGUGGAGCACUCCGUCACCGCUGCCUUGGGUCAGUUCACUCACUGUUUGGUCGAUCGUGUUUGCCCUGUUAGCACCCAUUUGUUCUCUGGGGUUGAUGAUGUAGAGCGAUUACGGGAGAUAGUAAAACAAGCAGCCAAAGAGGGCGCUAUGCUUGUUUAUACUUUAGCUGAUCCAUUCAUGGCUGAAUCUGCAAAGCAAGCUUGCAAAUUGUGGGGCAUUCAAUCCAAUGACAUACUGGGGCCAUUAACAGAAGUUGUUGCAUCGCAUCUCGGUGUCUCACCGUCCGGUCUUCCUCGUGGGGCUUUCGGCAAUAAUCUCCCGCUUACCGAUGAGUACUUUCGUCGGAUUGAAGCUAUUGAGUUUACAAUCAAACAAGACGAUGGUGCAUUGCCACAAAACUUGAACAAAGCUGACAUUGUUCUUGCUGGUGUAUCUCGAACAGGGAAGACGCCAUUGUCCAUUUAUCUUGCACAAAAGGGAUAUAAAGUGGCUAAUGUGCCGAUUGUAAUGGGGAUUAAACUCCCAAAGAACCUGUUCGAAGCAGACCCUGAAAAGGUGUUUGGUUUGACUAUAAAUCCGAUUGUGUUGCAAACAAUAAGAAGAGCAAGAGCCAAGAGUUUGGGAUUUUGUGAUGAAAUGAGAAGUACCUAUUCAGAAAUGGAUUUUGUUAGAAGGGAACUGGAUUUUGCUGGAAAGAUCUUUGCUCAAAACCCCACAUGGCCUGUGAUAGAGGUGACAGGGAAGGCCAUAGAAGAAACUGCCGCUGUCAUAUUGAGGCUUUACCACGAUAGAAAGCACAAGUGUUCGAUGCCAAGGAUAUCAAAGCGCUACUAGAGACAUUAAAGCUAUAAGCCAUGAAGGCACGAUGGUAUCAGUGCUCAAUAAGAUGUCGCUCAAUCUUGGACAGAACUUACACAGUGGCAAACAAGAGAAGAACUUUCUUGGGGUCCAAAAACCACGAAGAUGAAGGCCUCCUGAAGCUGUUUCUUCUAAGAAAGCCUCGUUCAACCGGCGCCGCCGCCGUGUUCGCUGUGGUUAUAGUGAUCUGAUGAUGAACUUGUGCCACUCCCAAAUGAUCUUGCUGUGACCCCACUGCCACUGCCACUGCCACCGCCGCCCCUGCUUUUUCCGCCAUGGUAGCUCCAACUGCAACUGAAAAUUGCACAAUUCAGGGGACCCACAAUUUUCCAAAAUUCAAACUCUGUUUUCCCCUGUUUUUCAAAUGAACUGCUCAAACAAGUUGAAAUA